AUCAAUAUUACCCCAUCUCCUACCGACAUUCAUAAACCUUCUUAAACCCGUUACCAUGGAUGCUAUUGCUCACUCUCCUUGCAAAGUCGAGGUUGAAUGAUUUGCACAAGGCACUUCUCAAGAAAGCUUUGUUUCUAAUCAGCUUUCUCGAGUGCACUGGAGGGUGAAGGCAACCUGCAUAGCCAAACUGGCUAACUGGGCUAGAUUUUACCAUUAAUGGCAUGUCCAUUUCGUUCUUUUCUAAUAUGAUUUUGUUCAUAUGCUUAUUUAUUCAGGCGGAAGCUCUCCAAGAUGAACUGAAACGUACCCGAAAAGAGAAUGAAACUCUUAAGGUUAUGCUUGAAGUUAUGGGCUGUAAGGUCAGUGCCCUUCAAGCAAGUGUUCAAGAAAUUGGUAGCAACUCACCUCUGAGUAGUAGCGUCUCAUACUAUGAGGUCUAUGGCUCAAUCAAGAAACCAAGGAUUGAGAUUCCCAUGGUCAAGCCUUCACAAAUUUUUGUCAGAACCGACUCCAAAGACAAGAGCCUAGUAAGUAUAGAUGAGAUGUUUGUGCAUGGAUCUAUCCAGGUUAAUUUUAUUGAUUUCUUGCAUAUUAUCAGUACUCAUCAGGGUUAAAAGAAUUUGAAUUUUUAGAUUGUAAAAGAUGGAUAUCAAUGGAGAAAGUAUGGCCAGAAGGUCACUAAAGAUAAUCCAUCGCCUAGAGCUUACUUCAGGUGUUCCAUGGCUCCAGGUUGCCCCGUCAAAAAGAAGGUUCAAAGAUGUGCCGAGGAUAAGUCAUUUCUGGUUGCUACUUAUGAAGGGAAGCACAACCAUGAUCCUUUUGGAUCUCCUGGUCACUCUAUAUACUCUCCGGAUAGCUCAUCAAGAAGCUCCAGAAGUAGCAUUAUUUCUUUCCCAGUCAACAGUAAUCCUUCUCAACCAGGUGUAGCUCUUGAUCUUACCCUCUCAAGUCCCACACAUGACAAGGAAAAACCUUGUCAAAGUUUAAUGGAAGAUCACACCAGCAACAAAAACUGUAACACUAAGGCUGAAGAGUACUUGGCAUCCCUGACUAAAGAUCCAAGCUUCACAGUUGCUUUGGCUGCAGCUGUAGCUCGCUCUUUAUCUACACCAAGAGUGCUGUGAAGGUCUCCUCUUUAAAUGUAAUGGGAAUUUGAUAAUUAAUUAGUUUUUUGGUAGUUAUUUUUUCUCUUAAUUUGAUUGCUUAUGCUUCUACUGUACAUGAGUCAUGAAUCAGUUCUUCCAGGAUGGAUUUAAUAGUUUAAAAAAAUAGCUAAAAGUUACCGCAUAAUAAGAAUUAUAAAAU
rnacentral:misc_RNA from 1 species